rnacentral:rRNA from 1 species
GAACGAGUUAUCUGACCUUCGGGGAACGAUAACGGCGUCGAGCGUUGCGACGGGUGAGUAAUGCCUAGGAAAUUGCCCUGAUGUGGGGGAUAACCAUUGGAAACGAUGGCUAAUACCGCAUAAUGCCUACGGGCCAAAGAGGGGGACCUUCGGGCCUCUCGCGUCAGGAUAUGCCUAGGUGGGAUUAGCUAGUUGGCGAGGUAAUGGCUCCUGGGCGACGAUGCGUAGCUGGUCUGAAGGGUGAUGACCAUCUGGACCUGCCCCCGGUCCCAGUCUUACGGAGGAGCUCGGGGAAUUCGCACAUGAGCGCUGCCUGAGGGACAUGGUUGGUGCGUGAGGGCUUAGCCUGCUUGCAUUCCGAGUGAGGAGGCCUGCGCACUGUUCAAUUCCAAGGCCCAUCCACUUGGAAGUCUCUGGAGCAGAGAGGAAGGUCUCGCGUGCUCAAUAACCACUGUCCACCGCUCGUGCGGCCCCGCAUCUUAGAUUUAUCUUGCGACCGAUCCCCAGCGUCUACUAGGCGAAACUCCAAGCCACGGUCAGGCUCACCUCAGUAACUCGUUACGAUGACACAGGUAUCUAUCUGUUGCUCCCAGCUUCCACUAAUGUCAUAUUGUCGGGGCCCUUGCACGUAUUCUUCAAUUCUACCAUCCCCUCACGAAGUCACCCCUCACGACCUGUCGCCGUCAAGGUAUGCAGGUGACCCGAUUUCCUCUAUUAGAACACGCUCCUUGGCCAGUAUCCAUAAGUCCCCUCAUAUUACGCGCUGUGCCGAAUAUCCGGUUGUUGCGCACGAAUAUAACAUACUACACUCCCACACGGAAUGAUUGAACCAAGCUCUCACACCGAGCUGUCGGUGGCCAUGGAUUCCGAUGGCCCCAAAACUAGACUGUAAUCCGGGCUGACCCUCAAAGAGAGUGCCUGGGACUAACCCAAGGUAUCAUGAGAUCCAGCGGAGCCAGUCCCUU